rnacentral:rRNA from 1 species
GACGAACGCUGGCGGCAGGCCUAACACAUGCAAGUCGAACGAAGGUCCGGAGCUUGCUCCGGGUGCCUUAGUGGCGGACGGGUGAGUAACGCGUGGGAACCUACCUAGCAGUACGGAAUAACUGUGGGAAACUGCAGCUAAUACCGUAUACGCCCUACGGGGGAAAGAUUUAUCGCUGUUGGAUGGGCCCGCGCCUGAUUAGCUUGUUGGUGAGGUAAAAGCUCACCAAGGCUGCGAUCAGUAGCUGGUCUGAGAGGAUGAUCAGCCACACUGGGACUGAGACACGGCCCAG